rnacentral:tRNA from 1 species
GGGGCUGGGGCUCAGUGGUAGAGUGCUUGCCUAGCAUGCAUGGAGGCACUAGUUCAAUCCUCAGCACCA